CGCAGCGCGGCAAAGCCUUCGUAGGGCACGCUGGAUGUCCCGGUGACAAACUGCAGCAGGCGGAGACGCUGCUCAUUGUUGAAGCGUUCUACAGCGGCCCAGAACCACCGCAUUACUAUGUGACCAUCAUGUCACCGAGGUCGAUCUCUACCGUACCGGCAAUAACCAGCUCCAGCUCCCGUGCAUCGAACACAGACACCAGCCUGGAGUCUACCACCUGGUUUGGAGGAAAACAACAUGUGUUUCAGUCGCCUUUAGAAGCCUCUGACUAAAGCCUCUGUCUGCUGCACCACUCCUCGCUCCACCCUCCACUUGGCCAUUCGUUCUAUAUAGUCCUUCUUGUUCUUCUCAGUCACUUGGAGAUGGGAGCCACCGGACUUCAGCUCCCGCUCCGUCACCUGGCAACGCAGGAAGUACUGGAUCUCGUUAACAGUGCAAGUCAUCAAAGCAAAUACACUGAAAGCUUGGAAAUAUAUUCGACAAUACUAUGUAUAUCAUAAAGAAUAAAAGAAAUGUAUAUGCACAACAGGUAUACGCAUGUGUUAUUCAGCUGAUAAUGUCAUCCACAGUUACAAACACAAACACACACAUGCACACACAGACCUGGCCAAAGACCUCCUCAUUGACAGUGAAGGUGAGGUCGAGGAUGUCAGUGAUGUCGUUGUCUUUCAUCCACUGCAGAGACUGGUGGAAUUCCUCGUCCAGAUACUCCAGGUCAGACAGGUCUGUGGGCCUGAAGGACACACACAGCUCACAAACACAACCCGCAAAAGCACACAAUACCAGUCUGCUAAUCAGUAAGCCAGCGCAGUUUCUUAUCGCAACCAGAUUCCAACUGACCCAGAAUCCAAAAGUGAAUUUAUUUACACUGUGGCCUGUAUGCUUGGUUUUCCAAAUUGUUAUUGGCACACGUAGCAAAAUGUCCAGAUUACUGAUGGGAUGUUUCUGAUAUUUA